rnacentral:rRNA from 1 species
UACGGGGGGGGCAAGCGUUGUUCGGAAUUACUGGGCGUAAAGGGCUCGUAGGCGGCCAACUAAGUCGGACGUGAAAUCCCCAGGCUCAACCUGGGAACUGCGUCUGAUACUGGAUGGCUUGAAUUCGGGAGAGGGAUGCAGAAUUCCAGGUGUAGCGGUGAAAUGCGUAGAUAUCUGGAGGAACACCGGUGGCGAAGGCGGCAUCCUGGACCAACACUGACGCUGAGUGAGCGAAAGCCAGGGGAGCAAACGGG